rnacentral:rRNA from 1 species
GACGAACGCUGGCCGCGUGCUUAACACAUGCAAGUCGAACGGUAAGGCCCUUCGGGGUACACGAGUGGCGAACGGGUGAGUAACACGUGGGUGAUCUGCCCUGCACUUCGGCAUAAGCCCGGGAAACUGGGUCUAAUACCGGAUAGGACGAUUGUCUGCUGGGGCGGUGGUGGAAAGCUUUUGCGGUGUGGGAUGGGCCCGCGGCAUAUCCGCUUGUUGGUGGUGUGGUGGCCUACCAAGGCGACGACGGGUAGCCGGCCUGAGAGGGUGACCGGCCACACUGGGACUGAGAUACGGCCCAGACGCCUACGGGAGGCAGCAGUGGGGAAUAUUACACAAUGGGCGCAAGCCUGAUGCAGCGACGCCGCGUGAGGGAUGACGGCCUUCGGGUUGUAAACCUCUUUCAGCACCGACGAAGCGCAAGUGACGGUAGGUGCAGAAGAAGGACCGGCCAACUACGUGCCAGCAGCCGCCGUAA